rnacentral:rRNA from 1 species
GUUUGAUCCUGGCUCAGGAUGAACGCUAGCGGCAGGCUUAACACAUGCAAGUCGAGGGGUAUAGUUCUUCGGAACUAGAGACCGGCGCACGGGUGCGUAACGCGUAUGCAAUCUACCUUUCACAGAGGGAUAGCCCAGAGAAAUUUGGAUUAAUACCUCAUAGUAUGUAUGAAUGGCAUCAUUUAUACAUUAAAGUCACAACGGUGAAAGAUGAGCAUGCGUCCCAUUAGCUAGAUGGUAAGGUAACGGCUUACCAUGGCAACGAUGGGUAGGGGUCCUGAGAGGGAGAUCCCCCACACUGGUACUGAGACACGGACCAGACUCCUACGGGAGGCAGCAGUGAGGAAUAUUGGACAAUGGGCGCAAGCCUGAUCCAGCCAUGCCGCGUGCAGGAUGACGGUCCUAUGGAUUGUAAACUGCUUUUGCACAGGAAGAAACAACGCUACGUGUAGCGUCUUGACGGUACUGUGAGAAUAAGGAUCGGCUAACUCCGUGCCAGCAGCCGCGGUAAUACGGAGGAUCCAAGCGUUAUCCGGAAUCAUUGGGUUUAAAGGGUCCGUAGGCGGUUUAGUAAGUCAGUGGUGAAAGCCCAUCGCUCAACGGUGGAACGGCCAUUGAUACUGCUAGACUUGAAUUAUUAGGAAGUAACUAGAAUAUGUAGUGUAGCGGUGAAAUGCUUAGAGAUUACAUGGAAUACCAAUUGCGAAGGCAGGUUACUACUAAUGGAUUGACGCUGAUGGACGAAAGCGUGGGUAGCGAACAGGAUUAGAUACCCUGGUAGUCCACGCCGUAAACGAUGGAUACUAGCUGUUGGGAGCAAUCUCAGUGGCUAAGCGAAAGUGAUAAGUAUCCCACCUGGGGAGUACGUUCGCAAGAAUGAAACUCAAAGGAAUUGACG